rnacentral:rRNA from 1 species
UGGGGAAUAUUGCACAAUGGGGGAAACCCUGAUGCAGCGACGCCGCGUGAACGAAGAAGGUAUUCGUAUCGUAAAGUUCUGUCCUAUGGGAAGAUAAUGACAGUACCAUAGAAUAAAGCUCCGGCUAAAUACGUGCCAGCAGCCGCGGUAAUACGUAUGGAGCGAGCGUUGUCCGGAAUUAUUGGGCGUAAAGGGUACGCAGGCGGUUUAAUAAGUCGAAUGUUAAAGAUCGGGGCUCAACCCCGUAAAGCAUUGGAAACUGAUAAACUUGAGUAGUGGAGAGGAAAGUGGAAUUCCUAGUGUAGUGGUGAAAUACGUAGAUAUUAGGAGGAAUACCAGUAGCGAAGGCGACUUUCUGGACACAAACUGACGCUGAGGUACGAAAGCGUGGGGAGCAAACAGG